GUGUGCAUUGCAGUGGAGGGCUACUUACAAGAGUCUGAAGGGCCCACUGGGCAGUGGCUGGAUUUCCCAUCCUUCACUCUCUCCUCUUUGCUCCCCUUACCUCUAUCGCUACAAGACCCACAGACCCCUCUGGAUGCCUGUAGAUACGGGGUUUCCUGCCUGCACUGGUUUCUGGAGAUCUGACUUCAGGCUCACAGCAUCAAACCCGGACCUUACAUCUGGCAGAGUCAGCGGGAUCCUGAAGACAUGAGCUGGAGCCCCGAAGAGCUGGGAACAGAGCAGAUGGAGUGUUUUUACUAUGCUAAAAGCUGGCCUCGAAGAUGCUUUGUAGGGAGAAGCCAAAGAAUGAGAGCUGGGAGCCAAGAUAAAACCUCAGUAUGUGAUUUAGAGCAUUAAGUCCCUUUUAUCAAAGGGAAGGGAAUGUAGACAGAGCCCUGGGGAGCCGGUCCCUGCCAGGUUGCUGAACCUCUGGGAUGAGGGGGAAGAAUGUCUCAUUAACCGUGGAACAGAUGGAGAAAUUGACCUCUAUCAUCACCCAUCUCUCUUUAAGGAAGUGCCUACAGGUCCCAAGGCCACAAAACUGAGGAGAACAGUUGCUAACGAGCUGGCUAAUAGCCAGAGCAUGUCUGGUAUGGACCAAUGCUGGCAAAUUGCCAGAGACUAUGAGUAAAUAAACCACCUACUUGUGCUUAA